GGCUGAACUCAAGCCAGAGGAAACGUGACCUGUGGAUGAGUCCGUGUGAGAGCACGUACGCACCAAAGUGUUUGUGGCCAGAGUUCACUCCAGAGCAGGUACACCUCAAAGCACCUAUGGCCAUGGAGAAGUGCAUGCUGCAGGAGGUACACCUUGCAACAUCCAUGUCUGUGGAUAAAGCCAUGCUAGAGUACCUAGAAGUGUCUGUGGGUGUGGAUAAGAUCAUAACACAGCAAGUGUCUGAGGAGACCUCUGAAGGGACUGUGGCAAAUGGAACAGGCCAUGCCACAGCCAGUACACUUCAAUGUGACUGUGGCUGUGGCACAUCAGAACAAGUAGACCUCAUAGCAUCUACGACUGAUGACACAAAAACCAACCCUGCUGCUCAUUUCUUUUCACAAGACUUAAAAAAGACCACCACGAGGCGGGAAGAGCUGGAACAGAAGCUAAAGUCAGGCUAAAGGGCAACAAAAGUGAUCCCUACAGAACUUUGCCUCAUGCAGAGUUGGACUGCAGCUGACUUCUUUCUGCAGGGAGCAUCCAUGUGUGCACUCUGGUGUGAGUGGAAGGAGCAGGUAGAGGUGAGCCAGACAGGGAGCAGC
ensembl:lncRNA